GCAUUCGUGCAGGUCAAAGGCACCCUCUCCCCCUAUCCGCCAGGUGCCUUCUAAGCACUUGGCCGCAGGUUCGAGUCCUGCCGGGGGCG
rnacentral:tRNA from 1 species